UGCAAGUACUUAAAACACAAAUAGACCUUUCUCCUGUAUAUGUAAAGGCAACAGCUCAAAAGGAAAUCCUUCAUUAAGCAAGCACGUCUUUAUAAACCUUUUAUGUGAAAAGGUGGGUUAAAACCCCAAAUGGUCACUUAACUUUGCUCGAAGUCUCUCAAAAGGUCACUGAACUUCAAAACGUCCCUAAGUAGUCACUGAACUUUGCCCAAAGUCUCUCAGGAGAUCACUGAACUUCAAAACGUCUCUAAAUGGUCACUGAACUUUGCAAAGAGUUCCUAGGGCGUCACUGAGGUUUGCAAAUUAGGACCCCAUUCAUCUUUGCAAAGUUCAAUAAUUUGCAAACUUCAGUGAGCCCCUAGGAACUUUUUGCAAAGUUCAGUGAUUAUUUAGGGACGUUUUGAAGUUCAGUGACCUCUUAGGGGACUUCGAGCUAAGUUCAGUGACUACUUAGGAACGAUUUGAAGUUCGGUGACCUUCUUAGAGACUUUGGGCAAAAUUCAGUGACCAUUUGGGGUUUUUUCUCUAAAAAGGUACAUGAGGUUUAGAGGAAAUAAAAUCUUGCAUGAAAGCAUAUUUUGGAUCACCAGGCUCAGCGAAGACAUUCACCCAUCUCGUCUUUUCCUGCUGGUUUCCCAUCUCAGCCUCACUCUUGUACGUAGUGUUUGUGUUGGAACAAUCUCAUGAAAAUAAAUAUAAAAAUCAUAACUAAAUGUAGAAAAGGUACAAAUGGUAGAAGAUAUUUAGUGAAUAGAAGAACCAAAUAGGUGUGAAAAGGAGAGUACAAUACGAUACUUGCCUUGGCGAAUUGAGCAGCCAAUCACAGUUUCCUUUCCUGCUUCUGUCACUCAGAAAUUCAUAAAUCCAUUUAACACAAUUAACAUGUGUAAAUACACACAUACAUAUAUGCUGAUAAACACAGAGAAGUGCAUGAAGAGUGAAGGGGGAUGAGAUUGCAG
rnacentral:lncRNA from 1 species